UUAAAUCAUCAUUAAUACAUUAAUUAAUUAAUCCGGUUUGAUCCCGCCAUGGCGCCGACGUGUUCCGGUUGCUCAAUCGCGGCUAUUCGACUGAUAAAUGGCCUUUUCCGGGCUAGUUUAUCCUUCCCUGUUAGGCAAUAUUGUUGCGAGAGUGAUCACUACUACAGUAAGAAGUCUCUGAAGUACUGGAAUGACUUCUACAAGCGCCACCAAAACAAGUUUUUCAAGGACAGGCAUUACUUGGAGAAGGAUUGGGGAAGGCAUUUUUCUAAUGAAGAUGGUGAUGGUGAUGGUAAAGGAAAGGUCGUUUUAGAGGUAGGUUGCGGAGCUGGGAAUUCAAUUUUCCCCCUUGUUGCUGCAUUUCCCAGGCUCAUUGUUCAUGCUUGUGAUUUUUCACCCCAAGCAGUAGCACUUGUUAAGUCCCAUGAAAAUUUUGAUGCUGAGAGGAUACAUGUCUUUGUCUGUGAUGCUGCUAAGGAUGAUCUCAGUUCUGAAAUCACAUCCUCAACUGUUGAUGUUGUUACCCUGAUCUUUAUGUUGUCUGCAGUUUCUCCAAAUAAGAUGCCUUCAAUUUUACAGAACUGUAAAAAAGUACUAAAGCCAAACGGUCACAUUCUUUUUCGAGAUUAUGCACUUGGAGAUUCUGCUCAAGUAAGACAUAAUAUUGAUUCAAGUUCAGAACAUUAUUAUGGACCAAAUUGGGUUAAGAAGCCUUUUUGUUGUUCUAUUUCCUGUGCAAAAAAAGUGAAGUUGCAUGAGAGAAACCAGAUGAUUAGUCAGAAUUUUUAUUUUCGAGGGGAUGGGACUGUAAGUGGUUGUAAAGUCUGGAUAUUAAUUGCCAUCAAGGUCUACCAUUUUAUUGUUUACAAUUCUAAUUCUAGUGGUUUCUAUAACUAUGUUAGUGCUCAUUCUAUUUCUCCAAGGAAUUCUUGUCAACAUUAUUUGUACAAGCUGGAUUUGAUGUUGUAGAUAUCAACACAUACUGUAUGGAAAUAGAGAAUCGUUAUCGGAAUAUUACCAUGCCAAGGCGGUGGCUACGGGCUGUUUUCAGGAAGUCCUAAAUUUUAGAUGCUUGCCCCAUUUGCAUUUUUUUUAUUCAGAGGAGCAUUCUCAAUGAUCUAAGUCAACUUGCCCUUCAGAUAUUCGCUUAUUCAUUUCAGCUGAUGUGACUACUGUAUGUCAGACACUGACUACGAUUAAUUGACAUUCAUGAGGUACGUGGACUGCUUGGUGGAUUGUAGUAUAAACCAAGAUUAAAGGGAAUGAUAUGUUUUGUGUAAUUGCUGAAUCUGCAAAGCUGGAAAUUUAUUUGUUUUACAUGCUAGUCAUGGUGGGUUAGCUUAUAUGCAGUUUUUUUAGCAGGUUUUAGAAAAAUGUGAUUUUCUUAGGAUGAACCCUCUUUUGUAAAAUUAUACAUGUGUAAUGACAUUGGCUGGAAUUAGCAUUGGUAUCAAAACCCAAAUGAAAUUUUUUCAUAAUGAUUAUUUCUUGCAUAUUUUUACAUCUGUUAUUUAUUAUUAUUAUUAUUAUUAUUAUUUGCAUAUAUAUGAAAACUUUGGAGAAAAAUUCUCAGAAGUCAAAUUGAUACCAUCACACAUUGUUCAUUGUCAUUGUGGGUUUCUGUUAAUGAAGGUCAAUCUUUCAUUGAAUAAAUGGAAGGGUAUAAAAUUACAUCACAAUGCACCCCACCCCCCAACCCCUGAAGUAAAAAAAAAAAAGGAUUGAGGAAA